UGAAAACACUAUUUAAACAAAGGGUUACCAAGAAGCAAAAAAGGGUGGGAAAUAACACUCAUUACAGAAAAUAAUAAUGAGGAUAACAAACAAAAAUAACCUUGAUUGGUGAAUGUUUUUUCAGAGACAAAAUCUUUAUCUUAAUUAUAUAUCUUGUAUUAAUCAAGCUUAUUUUUGGCAUUGCAUUUAUUUUUCAAAGCACAAUUCUCAUUCCAAAGAUGAGGAAAAUUUUCUUUAGCUGCCUUCCUUUUUAAUACAUCUCGUUUCCUCAUGAGUUUAAUCAAUUUAUCACUCAACCAUGGACUAUUUUUAUUUUUCAAUUGUUUUUUCUUUAUAGGGGCAUGUUUGUUAGCAACAUAAAGAAAUUUAUCCUCAAAAUUCUGAAGUGCAUCAUCAAUGUUUACUAUAGUUUGUGAUUUCGUACCAAUUUACAUUCACCAGUUCUACUGUAGUUUGAAUUGGAUUUCAUGAAGUUUGUUAUAGUUUGUACAAUUUUUAAUCCAGUGGUUUAAAGGUUGCUUUUGUUCUUUACAUAACUGAAUAGAUAACAUCAUGAUCACUAAGGCCACUAUAUAAGACUCUGGCAUCACUAACUUUUUCUGGACAAGAUACAAAGAUAUGGUUAUUACAGUUCUAUGGUCGUGUUCACUCUCAACAAGCCUCCCACUAACCAUCUCAUCAAAGUAAGAUUUAUUCAUGGGUUGGGCAAGACAAAAGCACACAGCGAUACCACCGUAAGUGGGACAGUUGAAAUGCUUUCGUAGACCUGGAACUAAGCCUCCCUCUAACCAUCUCUCAUGAAGGUUGUUGGUCUUCUGUAUGGUCCUUAUGCACAGUCUUUAUUUUGUGAUGGAAGUGUUCGCUCUUUAAAACCAGAUUGUUGACGUGAUGAGCGAGACAAAUGGAUGGGACACAGUGAUACCACCAAAAGUGGAACGGUUGAAAUGGAGGAACUGGAAAUGGAGGAACUGGAAGUGAACCUUCCAUUAACCAUCUCAGAAUAAAUUCUGUCUCCUCAGAAUUUAUUCUGUAAAGCCUAUGCAAAUAAGAAGGUGGAUUUUCCAUCAAUCCAAUAAAAUCAUAAAUGUCCUACAAAGAACUUUUGAACAUUUAUUCAGGUUUCACUUUUAAAACGAUGACACUGAAUAUUAAUUGAUACAAUAAUAUGAAAGUACAAUAUAGAAGUUUUUAUUAAGAGCUACAAGAAACAAAAUUACAAGAUGUCCCUCCCCCAAUUCCGGUCAAGAAGGUUGUGCCCCUUUUUCUCCCAGUUUCUUAAUAUUUAAAAAUCUGUAUCUCAAUGGCUUCCAAGUUUAAUUUAUCAAAUAUCCUUUUUGUGUCUAAUAAAAAAAUUAGUUCACAAAAUAUCAAUUAGAAAAAUUUCCUCUGGAGCCUGGCUUUAAAUAAUGAUGCAUUCUGAAUGAUAACAUUGAAUUAUUAGCAGUAGGGCCUAUUAAUUAUUUUAAUGGUUAGUUCGUAGUAUUGUAUGCGCAGCAGUGUGGUAUCUACUAACAAAAUGAAUGUUAUCAUACAGUAUUUGUUUCCACAUGGAAGAAAGCAACUAAUAAUUUACUGUUUUACAUCUUAACAAUUACUGUCAAUCAAGUACGGCACAGCAGAAAACCAGUGAACAUUCUUAGUCUCUAAGAUGUUUUGAUUCUAUUGGAUGUCCAGGUGGAUAUCAAGGUUUGACAUUUAAAAAAAAAUUUCUCACUACAAGGGAAGUAUAUUAAAAAAUACAUUCUGUUUGUUUGUGUUUCAGUUGAAGGGAUUUGUUAAUGUGGUGCCGCCCUCUACGAAUGCAUUGUUAUGAAACGGAAGUUCGAAAAAGGCUUGAAAAACCAUGAAUUUGUUAACUUGCAUAGAAAAAAAACCAGUGUCAACCACACUACGUAAGAUCAUACACAUGGAUGUUGGAAAAGGCUUUGAAAACAGUUAAUAUGUCAACUUAUAAAGAAAUAAAACAGAUUGAUCAGUAAUGUCUAAGGUAAAGACUUCCUUCCGGGACAAAAAAAUUAGAGAGUCUUGGCCGGAAGCAACUCAUCCAUAUGAUUAUGGAAGGAGACCUGUAGAUGAUAUGGACCAAGAGAUGGUUGGAUAUCCCAGGAAUGUCAUGGUAAAUGUCUUACACCGUGCACAAGGGAGAGAAGUAUUGGAAAGGCUAGAUGAAAUUGCCAACAAUCUUCAAGUGCCGGUAAGGGCAAUAGAGCCACAAAUAAGAAGAAUGAUGUGGUUAAUUCAAAUGCAACGACAAGAAAGAAGAAGGGAGAGAGAAUUAGAGAAGAGGCAGAGAAGAGCAAAUAAUCAGAGGAAUUAGCGAAGGAGACGAGGACAGGGAUUGACAAAUGGUUCAGCUGAUGAAAUUACUGCUGGAAUAAGUUGAAAAAUGAAACACAAAUUAGUAGUACAUAGAGUAGUAAUAAUAGAACAGGACAGGACAUGGGCAUUUUAUAAAAUUAGUGUUGCCAUGAAAUUAGCUUUAGACUCGGUGGAAAACCUAAUACUGCCCAGCUCCACCACACUACAUUCCCACACUUUUCAGGACGAUUUAACCAAAGUUUGCAUUGAAGCACAUAAAAAGUCUGUAUAAAUAUGUUAAAGAUUGGAAAAAAUGUAACUUUAAAUUGUUCCAAAUUGGCCCCUUACUUUAAAUGUAUUUUUAAAUGAUCUUCAAUAGCAAUUGGAUUUUGCUAUUUCAUUUUUAUUUGCUGAUGAUAAGCUUUUUAAAAUAAUUUUGUAUGUUCAGGGUGCAUUGAAACUUCAGAAAGACACAAGUUACCUCACUGACUAGACCAGGGUCUGGGUGCUGGACCUUACCAUUUAGAAGUGUAAAUUUAUGUUAUAAAUUAAAUAUGCAGGAGCUUGAGUUAGUUUCUGUUCAUAAAGCUUUAGGUAUUUUUAUUGACAGUACAUUAAAAUUCAUGUUAUCCUGUUAAUUAUGUUCUGUCAAAUGUUAUUCAAAUGAUGGGUAUGAUUUGGAGAAAUUGUAGGUUUAUGAAUGAUGGGCGUGCCCUAAUUUGCUUGUAAAAUGAUUGUUCAUCAUCAGAAACUCAAUUUCUCCCAAGUCUGUCCCAUGGUAUUAAUAGAAUACAGUACAAAGUAGGUUUUUAAUUUGUUUAGCUAGGACAUAUCCUGAUUAUACUGUAAAAAUUCAUUUAGUAAUCAUAGACUUGUUUUUAAUAUGUUUUUUUUUUUCGAAAGUUUAAAUGAUUUGAUUGUAAUCGUGUAUAUUCGUUUAAAUUUAACAUUCCUAGUCAUACUCGCACUAAACACUUUGGCUGAAUUGACUUAACAAAGAGAGGUUGUUUUUAAGAUUAGCUGUUACAUCUAAUAAUUUAAGUGAAAUUGAUUUUUUUUUUUAAUGUAGUUUAUCUUCAUUGAAGCUUAAAUUUAUGAAGAUAGUUAAGGUUUAAUAUAAGUUAGUAACAUUCCAACCUGUUACAGUUAAUGGAGAUUUUUGUCUAUGUUGGCUGACAAUUUAUUAAAAUUAAAAAUAUAACAAAAAAUGUGUGACAUACAGAAUCAUGUGUUUUGAAUACAUCGCAGAAGCUAGUAAUCCACAUAUCAAUGGCUAGUAACUUGCUAUAUAUGAUAUGAUAUUUGAUGCACAGCAUCCUCUUUGACAUUGGGAAAAAAGUUACAGCUAUUUUAGUGAAGCCCUUAUUUUCUGAUGAUAAUACUUAAAGCAUAGCCCUACAUAAUUUUCGAAAUAUUUUGAAGGCCUGUAAACCAGGAAUCCAUAUGGAUUUAACUGUAAAUGUUAUUGUCCGGAUACAGUGUACAGUGUUUAUAUAUAUGCAGGUGUAGCUUUCCUCUGAAACUUUAAAAAAAAAUUGAGGGUGCAAUCAUUAUUGAAAUGGUAGUACACAGCAGAAGCCACAGUGCUUUAGGCACCUUUAUACAAUGUGCCUUUUCACAAUAAAUUAAUAUCUGUUUUGCCUUAAAAAUUUGCUUUCAGUGGAUAUUAAGGAACCUGAAUAGAAGAGCCAUUAAUACACUGAGGUAUAAAAAUACCUCUUUGAAAGACCACUUGUGCGUGUUGAUAAAAAAACUUAGUUUAUUCAUGGAGGGAAGGCACCGAAAAACGUAAUACAAAACAUCCAUUUUGCAUAGCGUCAUCUAUAUACUGUAUUGUACAUGCAUGGUUUGUAGAAGAUUAUGACAAGAAAAGGCAAUUUCUUUCUAGCACUUCGUUAAUACAAAGCGAAGGAAAAUUUUAAACUAAUUCAUUUUGAUGGAGGAAGGCGAAGAACAUCAACUCUAUUUAUAUAUUAAAUCAUAAAUAUUUUAGUUGCUAAACUUUACAACUUAGGCCUUUUGCUGGUAUACCUUCUCAGAAAUGAUGACGACGACAACGAUAAUGAUCAUGAUGAUGGCGAUUAUGAAGGAUUGAUCUUGAAUAUGUGAAAUUAAGAAAUGUAAAAAUAUGCACAGCUGAAUUAUAAAUCUCCUCAACUAAUAGGCCAGUUUAUAAAUGAAAAUUAAACAUGCUAUUAUUGGGGAAAAUAGAUAAUACAUUUAAGAAGUAUUAAAAAGAAUUCUAUAGGUUGUGACAAAAGAAUUAAGAAUGAAUAUUCCAUUGCAUUGUUGUUGUCUAGAUAAGCUUGUUUGUAAAAAUGGAUGGCUUAUUUUUUACAAUUAUGUAAAAGAAAAUAUUAUUAAUAGAAGUACUGUAUA
rnacentral:lncRNA from 1 species